CCUGGGGGCAGCAGUGGGGAAUAUUGGACAAUGGGCGAAAGCCUGAUCCAGCAAUGCCGCGUGAGUGAUGAAGGCCUUAGGGUUGUAAAGCUCUUUUACCAGGGAUGAUAAUGACAGUACCUGGAGAAUAAGCUCCGGCUAACUCCGUGCCAGCAGCCGCGGUAAUACGGAGGGAGCUAGCGUUGUUCGGAAUUACUGGGCGUAAAGCGCACGUAGGCGGCUACUCAAGUCAGAGGUGAAAGCCCGGGGCUCAACCCCGGAACUGCCUUUGAAACUAGGUAGCUAGAAUCUUGGAGAGGUCAGUGGAAUUCCGAGUGUAGAGGUGAAAUUCGUAGAUAUUCGGAAGAACACCAGUGGCGAAGGCGACUGACUGGACAAGUAUUGACGCUGAGGUGCGAAAGCGUGGGGAGCAAACAGGAUUAGAUACCCGGGUAGUC
rnacentral:rRNA from 1 species